UACGUAGGUGGCGAGCGUUGUCCGGAAUUAUUGGGCGUAAAGGGCGCGUAGGCGGUUACUUAAGUCAGGUGUGAAAGCCCCCGGCUCAACUGGGGAGCGUCAUUUGAUACUGGGUAACUAGAGUGCAGGAGAGGAAAGUGGAAUUCCAUGUGUAGCGGUGAAAUGCGUAGAUAUAUGGAGGAACACCAGUGGCGAAGGCGGCUUUCUGGACUGCAACUGACGCUGAGGCGCGAAAGCUGGGGGAGCGAACGGG
rnacentral:rRNA from 1 species